rnacentral:rRNA from 1 species
AAGUCGAGCGAAGUUUUAAAAGCUUGCUUUUGAAACUUAGCGGCGGACGGGUGAGUAACACGUGGGCAACCUGCCUAUAAGACUGGGAUAACUUCGGGAAACCGGAGCUAAUACCGGAUAAUGCUUUUUCUCACAUGAGAGAAAGCUGAAAGAUGGUUUCGGCUAUCACUUAUAGAUGGGCCCGCGGCGCAUUAGCUAGUUGGUGAGGUAACGGCUCACCAAGGCGACGAUGCGUAGCCGACCUGAGAGGGUGAUCGGCCACACUGGGACUGAGACACGGCCCAGACUCCUACGGGAGGCAGCAGUAGGGAAUCUUCCGCAAUGGACGAAAGUCUGACGGAGCAACGCCGCGUGAGUGAUGAAGGUUUUCGGAUCGUAAAACUCUGUUGUUAGGGAAGAACAAGUACCGGAGUAACUGCCGGUACCUUGACGGUACCUAACCAGAAAGCCACGGCUAACUACGUGCCAGCAGCCGCGGUAAUACGUAGGUGGCAAGCGUUGUCCGGAAUUAUUGGGCGUAAAGCGCGCGCACGCGGUUCCUUAAGUCUGAUGUGAAAGCCCACGGCUCAACCGUGGAGGGUCAUUGGAAACUGGGGAACUUUGAGUGCA